CGACGUACAUCAGCUAGACUAACGAUAUAUUGCACAACACUAACUGGCGAGGCGGGCGCUCGGUGCGGUAUCGGGUCGCCAUCCGCCUGCUUGGUCGGCGGGCCGCAAUAGGCCCACUGCCGCACCGAGUUGAUUUUUGACACCGUCAGUGCGUGGUAGGCCGAUAAUGACCUACCAUUAUAUUUUAUAGGGA